GAGCAAUUCCCAUACCAGACUGUGAUACAGUUGGUAAGGAUGCUCUCAAUCGCACAGCGGUAAAAGUUGCU